rnacentral:rRNA from 1 species
AUUGAACGCUGGCGGCAUGCUUCACACAUGCAAGUCGAACGGUAACAGGCCUUCGGGUGCUGACGAGUGGCGAACGGGUGAGUAAUGCAUCGGAACGUACCCAGAGGUGGGGGAUAACGCAGCGAAAGCUGUGCUAAUACCGCAUGUGAUCUGAGGAUGAAAGCGGGGGACCGAGCAGCAAUGUUUGGCCUCGCGCCUUUGGAGCGGCCGAUGUCGGAUUAGCUAGUUGGUGGGGUAAAGGCCUACCAAGGCGACGAUCCGUAGCUGGUCUGAGAGGACGACCAGCCACACUGGGACGGAGACACGGCCCAGACUCCUACGGGAGGCAGCAGUGGGGAAUUUUGGACAAUGGGCGCAAGCCUGAUCCAGCAAUGCCGCGUGCGGGAAGAAGGCCUUCGGGUUGUAAACCGCUUUUGGCAGGAACGAAACGGUGUCCGCUAAUACCGGGCGCUAAUGACGGUACCUGCAGAAUAAGCACCGGCUAACUACGUG